UACGUAGGGGGCAAGCGUUGUCCGGAAUUACUGGGCGUAAAGCGAGUGUAGGUGGUUGUCCAAGUUGGAUGUGAAAGCCUUGAGCUCAACUCAAGAAAUGCAUUCAGGACUGGGCGGCUAGAGGACCGGAGAGGAUAGUGGAAUUCCCAGUGUAGUGGUGAAAUACGUAGAGAUUGGGAAGAACACCAGUGGCGAAGGCGGCUAUCUGGACGGUUUCUGACACUAAGACUCGAAAGCGUGGGGAGCAAACAGG
rnacentral:rRNA from 1 species